UCUUCUUCUUCUUCUUCUUCUUCUUCUUUUCUUCUCCUCUUCUUCUUCUCCUAUUUUUCUUCUACUUCUCCUCUUCUUCUUAUUUUCUUCUUUUCUUUUUGUUCUUCAUCUUCUUCUUCUUCUUCUUCUUCUUCUUCUUCUUCUCCUUUUCUUCUCCUCUUCUUCUUCUCCUCUAUUUCUUCUUCUCCUCCUCUUAUUCUUCCUUUUCUUCU
rnacentral:lncRNA from 1 species